CUUAACUAUCACGGCCUACCGGGACUCCCAAUCACGGCCGGAUGUGAUACAGCUUGGAUCAUCAUCUGUACAGCAAUAAGCGUAAAAAUAGGUACAAUAAAAUACAAAUCGCUAAAAUAAAAUUGAAACUAAACAGCUUCUAUGUCUGGAAAAUCAUUUUUUUUAAAUGCAUUUGCAAUUGAUUUAAAAAAAAAAUGAAAUCACUUCCUAACAUUAUCCGAAUUUAUUACAACGCAACCUAUUAGAAUUGUAGUCAAUGGAUAUGAAGUUCAAACAAAAGUUGAGUGGGUAGUGGCCAGUGCAAAGAACAUAGAAUUAGGAAUUCGAAUGUAAUGUAAAAUUAUCUCUGUGGCAUAGAAUUAGAAAUGUAGAAUGAACGGACCAGUGGCCUUUAGCGGCCAGUUACCUGGGCAACACCUUUAUGGCAAUUGUGAUGUCAGACAGAACUGGGUGAAACUUGAAUGUAGCUAAGAACAUAAAUGUUCCUAGGCAUGUAGGCCUAUCCACCUUUAUUUAGCCCCCUGAGGUCUCUUCGAACCGGGCAAGCUGGACAGCACCCUAGGUCCGUGUAUUUUGUGCAUCAAGAUGCCAUUCCCUUCAGGAGGUUUUACUCCAAGGAACGGGGAUUGUCUUAUCAUCGUUCCUCUAUAAUGUCCUGGUACUGGGACACCACAACUCCUUCGGAGUGUACCUUAUCAGAUCAGUCUCCUCAAUGGGUUUGGGGAGACAAGUUCUAAAACAGGCAAAUUACACUAAGUUCACAUACCGUUAAUAACAUAACGUUUGUCAUCAGACUGAAACAAUUUCACUUUACACUGUAAACACAACUGUUGUAACUACACAUUACAACAACUUUUGUAUUACAAAAGUGGUUUUGUGAUCAUAUGUAUAAAUGGUGAUACACCUAUAAUAAACAAGUAGUUACCAAACUGCACAAAUGACCUGCUGCUGUACUUACACGCUAGCUACCUAACCUUAAGACCCACUCUCUGCUGGCCUGUAGCAUGGGUUGGCUCCAUCAGCUACGGCUUCAUCAUGAUCUGUGGGCCCCUGGCUGGGAAGAUGACAGAUCUCCAUUCUAGGAUCCCUCAUCAUCAUGAUCUCCAUAGUGUGCUCGUCCUAUGCACCCAAUCUAGGAACGCUGUUCUUCACACAUGGCUUCCUCAGUGGAGUGGGCUCCAGCUUUGUCUUCACCCCAGGUAUGAUCAUGGUGAGCCAGUACUUCACCAGCAAGCGUUCCCUGGCCACAGGGAUAGUGAUGUCAGGGGGAGCAGCAGGGGACCUGGUCCAGACCCGGCUCCAUCUGUACCUCAUCGACACCCUGGGCUGGAGGCAAAGUCUCGAGUGUUCUCAGGCCUCAUGAUUAUCUGUGUUAUCACCGGCUUCACCUAUCUGCCACUCAACCCCAAAGGUACUGCAGGGCGUUCAAACCCACAACAGUUUUCAUUUAUAGAGCAUACAGUAAUGGGACCAUUUACCCCAUCAUGACUGAGCGCACCCUUGUGUACCCUUUCAAACAGAAAUGUGAUCUAUUCAAAAAAUACAGUAUGUGUUACUGAUGGGCUACGAGGGAUUUACAUUUCAAAUGUCUUUGAAAGGUGUCACUAGAAGUGUGGUGGAUAAUUUGAAGAACUCUCCCUUGAAGGAGUUUAUUGUGGACCUUGGCCUGUGGAAAGACAACAUCUUUCUAAUCUGGGUUGCAGCCAAUGGACUGUAAAUUUGGAUUCUUCAUUCCAUAUGUCCACUUGGUGAAGCAUGCUGUUCAGCUGGGCAUCCCAGUCCACAGUGCCACUAACAUCAUGCUGUUCAGCUGGGCAUCCCAGUCCACAGUGCCACUAACAUUCAUGCUGUUCAGCUGGGCAUCCCAGUCCACAGUGCCACUAACAUCAUGCUGUUCAGCUGGGCAUCCCAGUCCACAGUGCCACUAACAUCAUGCUGUUCCUGGGCAUCCCAGUCCACAGUGCCACUAACAUCAUGCUGUUCAGCUGGGCAUCCCAGUCCACAGUGCCACUAAUAUCAUGCUGUUCAGCUGGGCAUCCCAGUCCACAGUGCCACUAACAUCAUGCUGUUCAGCUGGGCAUCCCAGUCCACAGUGCCACUAACAUCAUGCUGUUCCUGGGCAUCCCAGUCCACAGUGCCACUAACAUCAUGCUGUUCAGCUGGGCAUCCCAGUCCACAGUGCCACUAACAUCAUGCUGUUCCUGGGCAUCCCAGUCCACAGUGCCACUAAUAUCAUGCUGUUCAGCUGGGCAUCCCAGUCCACAGUGCCACUAACAUCAUGCUGUUCCUGGGCUUGACUAGCAUGGUCAGCCGGAUCAUCUUCGGCAGGAUCUGUGACUCCGAGAGAAUCAACAGGCUGUACUUCAACCAGGUGUUGGUCUGCUGUACAUGUUGAUCCCACUACUCAAACCCUACAGCUCUCUGGUUGCCUUUGGCUUGUUCCUGGGGAUUGCUGAUACUGGCAACUACAUCCUACUCCCUGUCCUGACGUUUGACCUGAUGGGGGCCGAGAAAAUGCCCAUGGCCUGGGGGUUCAUGCUCACGGUGAACGCUGUCAGCUGCUUGGGGCCGCCCUUCGCUGGUAGGUUCACUGCAGCUGAUGUUAUUGUACCAAACCAAAUCAAAUGUUAUUCGUCACAUGCUUAGUAAACAACAGGUGGGGGGACUAACAGUGAAAUGCUUACUUACUUACCCUUCCCAACAAUGCAGAGAGUAAUAAUAUCUACACAAUAGGUAACGAUAACUUGGCUAUAUACCAGUACCUAGUCGAUGUGCAGGGGUACGAGUUAAUCAGACACCUUAACUUUUUCCACAUUUUGUUACAUUACAACCUUAUUCUGUAAUAUAUUAAAUAGUUUUUUUCCCCUCAUCAAUCUACAAAC